CCCUUCGUGGCGUAGUUGGUUAUUACAUCAGUCUAACACACUAGUGGUCUCCGGUUUGAACCCGGCCGAAAUCA